GAAUUUCCCAAUUCCCAGUAGCUUUGUCAUAAAUUCGAACUCCAAUAGAUGAUGAAGAUUCAUCAUCACUACCACCAAUCACAUACGUCUUAUCGUGGAUGGUAAUGGCUGUUUCAUAGUCCUUAUAUUUUAAGCCAAAUCCAUUCUGAUAUCCAUUCUGCAGAUCAUCAACAACAAAUGCCGGGGCCUCUCCCAUGGAGAAACUAUGCCUCCAAUACAAGUUUCACCCUGUGUAUAUGAGCAGAAAAUUGUCCGCAAAAUUCAAGCUUUGAUGGUUGGAGGUGGUGGUAAUAUGUAUAAGAGGAAGAAUCAAUUUGUGUUCUUUACAAAGGGUAAGCUAUGUGUGGAUAUUUUGUCAAAUCAAAACCAACUUAGGAUACAGGAAGAAGCUGGAAGACAAGAAGAGAAUCCUUCUCCUAUUUGGAGCUGGAGGCUAUAGAGCGCGAGAGAGAAGGUGCUAAGGGUGGUGGCUUUUGGGUCGCAUUCAUUUAACGAAACAAUAAGAC
rnacentral:misc_RNA from 1 species